UACGAAGGGGGCUAGCGUUGUUCGGAUUUACUGGGCGUAAAGCGCGCGUAGGCGGAUUGUUAAGUCAGGGGUGAAAUUCCGAGGCUCAACCUCGGAACUGCCCUUGAUACUGGCAAUCUGGAGUUCGGGAGAGGUGAGUGGAAUUCCGAGUGUAGAGGUGAAAUUCGUAGAUAUUCGGAGGAACACCAGAAGCGAAGGCGGCUCACUGGCCCGAUACUGACGCUGAGGCGCGAAAGCGUGGGGAGCAAACAGG
rnacentral:rRNA from 1 species